rnacentral:rRNA from 2 species
UACGUAGGUGGCAAGCGUUGUCCGGAUUUAUUGGGUUUAAAGGGUGCGUAGGCGGUCAUAUAAGUCAGUGGUGAAAUACUUCAGCUCAACUGGAGAGGUGCCAUUGAUACUGUAUGACUUGAGUACAGACGAGGUAGGCGGAAUUGACGGUGUAGCGGUGAAAUGCUUAGAUAUCGUCAAGAACACCGAUAGCGAAGGCAGCUUACUAGACUGUAACUGACGCUGAUGCACGAAAGUGUGGGGAUCAAACAGG